rnacentral:misc_RNA from 1 species
GAUGAAGAACGUAGCGAAAUGCGAUAAGUAAUGUGAAUUGCAGAAUUCAGUGAAUCAUCGAAUCUUUGAACGCACAUUGCGCCCCCUGUUAUUCCGGGGGGCAUGCCUGUUCGAGCGUCAUUUCACCACUCAAGCCUCGCUUGGUAUUGGGCAACGCGGUCCGCCGCGUGCCUCAAAUCGACCGGCUGGGUCUUCUGUCCCCUAAGCGUUGUGGAAACUAUUCGCUAAAGGGUGUUCGGGAGGCUACGCCGUAAAACAACCCCAUUUCUAAGGUUGACCUCGGAUCAGGUAGGGAUACCCGCUGAACUUAAGCAUAUCAAUAAGCGGAGGA